AAAACUUUCAACAACGGAUCUCUUGGUUCUGGCAUCGAUGAAGAACGCAGCGAAAUGCGAUAAGUAAUGUGAAUUGCAGAAUUCAGUGAAUCAUCGAAUCUUUGAACGCACAUUGCGCCCAUCAGUAUUCUGGUGGGCAUGCCUGUUCGAGCGUCAUUUCAACCCUUAAGCC
rnacentral:rRNA from 1 species